rnacentral:lncRNA from 1 species
UGAAUAACGUAUAAUUUCAUAUCCUCCCUUAUGCUAAAAAAAUACAUUAUCGCAAAAUCAGUUAAAUGUAUAGGUUGCUCCAAAAGUAAUGCUUCCUACUUAUUUCCUAGGAAACUACAGCAAAUACAAAGAGUACAACAAUGCUAUUUGACCAAGAAGAUUCUCAGUUGAACCCACAACUGAGAAUUUGUUUGGUCAGAAGUGGCAGCUAAUGGCAUCCAAGAAAGUUCACCUUGGACAAGAACUGCUUCAGAUGCAACCUGAAGGAGCCUCAGAAGUUCCCAAAUGAGAUUUCUCCAACCUGUAUAUCUCACUUAAAAUGACAUCAACCAAACCUUGACCAUCUGAUGUGCUAAAUCUGUAUGGAUCAUUAUUUUGAAAAAAAGACUAAAAGGAGUGGCUGUGCUAUGAGUUCAAUGGGCACCGCGGC